rnacentral:lncRNA from 1 species
AUGCGAAGGAAAGCGGUGCCGGAGCAGAGAUGGAGCGAGCAACGGAGCAAAGAGCGAGCGCCGAAGCAGAGACGAAGGAAGCGACAGGAUGAGCGAGCGCCGGGCGACGGCGGGGAACGGCCGCUUGACAAACGCAAUGCUGGAGCAACAACAAUGAGCGCGGGGUAGCAAACGAGAGUGAAACUAGAGAUUCAAAAUUUGAAAGCUCGCUCGCUUGGAAUGGCUUUUCUUCUACUCGGAGGAAAGAACGAGGGAAGAGGAAAGAGAAUACAAUAAAUGCGUGCAGACCCUGCAGAGGAGAGAGAGA